rnacentral:rRNA from 1 species
GACGAACGCUGGCGGCGUGCCUAAUACAUGCAAGUAGAACGCUGAAGAGAGGAGCUUGCUCUUCUUGGAUGAGUUGCGAACGGGUGAGUAACGCGUAGGUAACCUGCCUGGUAGCGGGGGAUAACUAUUGGAAACGAUAGCUAAUACCGCAUAAAAUUGAUUAUUGCAUGAUAAUUAAUUGAAAGAUGCAAUUGCAUCACUACCAGAUGGACCUGCGUUGUAUUAGCUAGUUGGUGAGGUAACGGCUCACCAAGGCGACGAUACAUAGCCGACCUGAGAGGGUGAUCGGCCACACUGGGACUGAGACACGGCCCAGACUCCUACGGGAGGCAGCAGUAGGGAAUCUUCGGCAAUGGGGGGAACCCUGACCGAGCAACGCCGCGUGAGUGAAGAAGGUUUUCGGAUCGUAAAGCUCUGUUGUAAGAGAAGAACGGGUGUGAGAGUGGAAAGUUCACACUGUGACGGUAUCUUACCAGAAAGGGACGGCUAACUACGUGCCAGCAGCCGCGGUAAUACGUAGGUCCCGAGCGUUGUCCGGAUUUAUUGGGCGUAAAGCGAGCGCAGGCGGUUAGAUAAGUCUGAAGUUAAAGGCUGUGGCUUAACCAUAGUAUGCUUUGGAAACUGUUUAACUUGAGUGCAGAAGGGGAGAGUGGAAUUCCAUGUGUAGCGGUGAAAUGCGUAGAUAUAUGGAGGAACACCGGUGGCGAAAGCGGCUCUCUGGUCUGUAACUGACGCUGAGGCUCGAAAGCGUGGGGAGCAAACAGGAUUAGAUACCCUGGUAGUCCACGCCGUAAACGAUGAGUGCUAGGUGUUAGGCCCUUUCCGGGGCUUAGUGCCGCAGCUAACGCAUUAAGCACUCCGCCUGGGGAGUACGACCGCAAGGUUGAAACUCAAAGGAAUUGACGGGGGCCCGCACAAGCGGUGGAGCAUGUGGUUUAAUUCGGAGCAACGCGAAGAACCUACCAGGUCUUGACAUCCCUCUGACCGCUCUAGAGAUAGAGUUUUCCUUCGGGACAGAGGUGACAGGUGGUGCAUGGUUGUCGUCAGCUCGUGUCGUGAGAUGUUGGGUUAAGUCCCGCAACGAGCGCAACCCCUAUUGUUAGUUGCCAUCAUUCAGUUGGGCACUCUAGCGAGACUGCCGGUAAUAAACCGGAGGAAGGUGGGGAUGACGUCAAAUCAUCAUGCCCCUUAUGACCUGGGCUACACACGUGCUACAAUGGCUGGUACAACGAGUCGCAAGCCGGUGACGGCAAGCUAAUCUCUGAAAGCCAGUCUCAGUUCGGAUUGUAGGCUGCAACUCGCCUACAUGAAGUCGGAAUCGCUAGUAAUCGCGGAUCAGCACGCCGCGGUGAAUACGUUCCCGGGCCU